GAUUAACUAAUGGGAGUGAUGUCACCCAGACUGACAAACUGUGGAAGAAUGAGAGUGAUGCUGCAACAAUACAUUGUAGUCACACUAAAGAUAGUUCAUAUCGGCAGAUGUACUGGUACAGACAGCUGCCAGGAGAGGGAAUGAAACAAAUUGUUUUUACAACUGCAUACAGCACUCAUGAAUAUGGAAGCGGCUUCAGUGUGGACAAAUUUCCAGCAACAAAAAAUGAUACUCAGACUGGAUCUUUAACAGUGAAAAAGCUGGUUCCUGAGGACAGUGGAGUGUAUUUCUGUGCUGUGAGUCAACACAGUGAUACAGGUGACUUAGACAGCUGCACAAAUACCCAAAUACUGGGGUCACUGUUAGCUGAGACAACAGUGUCUUUCAUUUUUCAUAGGGGGAGAUGUAGACAUGUAAAGCACAUUAAAACACAUUAAGAUUUUGGGGUAGUAUUAAGCAUGAUUUGUGUUAGACUGUAUUAUAAAAUGUUACACUGCAUUUAAAAAAAAUGUUUUUAGAGCAGUGAUAAUGUAAUUAAAUGCAAAAUGAAGUACAAUAAAUAAAAACACACACAUACACACACAACCUUUCGUCCAUUGUGAGUUUUUUUUUUUUAACAUAGGUUUACAUUAAUUUACUGGAGGCUUUUUUGCAUAUUUUUCAAUAAUUGGUUCAAAUAAAAAAAAAAUUCAAAUACAAACUUUAAAUACUUUUAAUUUAUACAUUUAAAUUUAUAAACUUUUAGGCACUAAAGUUGAUUACAAUUUUGUUGAUUAAUACCAUAUGAAAUAUAUUUUCAUAAGGUUGUUGUCUGCGAAGUUGCACACUAUGGGCAUAUGGGCAACCAAAGUCUUCCUCACAAUAUCAGAAUCUUUCUCCUCCCCUUUACAACACAUUGCUGCAGUACAAUCUGUUCCAUCUGUCAAUGUAGAGAGAGAGAGGAAAACACAGACAGACAUCAUGAUCAGAAACAUCAACUGGAUCACUCUGCUGCUUAUUUGCCUCUCCGGUUGUUCACUGAGCAAUAAAGUCGAUCAGACUCCAUCAUCAAUAUUAGGAACUCGUGAUCAUUUCACAACAAUCAGCUGCAGCCAUUCAGUCACUUCAUACAAUGUAAUCUUGUGGUACCAACAGCCAGUGGGUGACUCUGCUCUUAAACUCAUUGGAUAUAUUCAGUAUACUAAUCCAACUCUUGAGCAUUCAUUUCAGCAGCACUUCAAUGUGACUGGAGAUGGGUCAUCAAAAUCUCAACUUCACGUGCUGAAACUCAGACAGCCAGAAGACAGUGGCAUGUAUUACUGUGCAGCUAGUACACAGUGACUCAAUUACCUCCUCACCUCUACAAAAACUCUUUCUGAUAAUCCACCACAUAAACUUACAAUAGGCACACCUGCUUUAUUGCUUACAGCAGGAAAUCACCAAUGAUAAGCAUUAAAACCAUCUCUUCCUGCAUAACAUACCGAUGAAAACUUGAGAUGUCCUUAAUGUCAACCCCUCCUUCUCCUUUACAUCAAGACAGCUCUGUUCAGUUCGCAGUUAUCAUAGUGUCUUCAUCUGUGUCAGCGCCAUGAUCAGACUCUUCUUACACUUAGUAGCUGUGCCGUUCUGCUUAGCAGGUAACAAAUACAUAAGAAAUUAGCCUAAAUAUUUUAUUGGGUUUGUUUUCUUCAAUUCAAGAUAUGUGUUUUGCUUUUUUUCCACAGAACUCUCAAAAAACAAUGUUCGCCAAACUCCCACUGCUAUGAUCAAACAUUCUGGAGAAAAAAUUCUGAUAAACUGCAGCCAUUCAAGCACUAAAUUUGAUAUGAUUCAGUGGUACAAACAGUCUGUUGGGACAAAUGAUAUGGCUCUACUAGGCUACGUACGAUUCUCUUCUGCAGUUGUUGAAAAUACAUUCAAAAAUGAAUAUGACGUGAAAGGGCAUGGGAGCAGUUGGUCGUCCCUUCAUAUUCUAAACCUGACUGGAAUUGAGCCCAGCGUUGUGUAUUUCUGUGCUGCCAGUGAAGCACAGUGCUGCGUAAACGACUUUGACUUCAACAAAAACCUUCUGUGAUGCAGGCAGCAACACAGUCAUGCAGCUGCUGAUAAUAUCAUAAGCAACAAAUAAACCACAUCGUGAAUGACUGAUAUCAGACAACUGUCUCAUAAGACUGCUACAUUCUUCUUAUAACCAUUAGGGGGCAGUGUUUCCCCACCCAUUUCUGACUAACAAAAACAGAAAAAUUUAUUUUAUAUUUGAGACUUGUAUAGUAUAGUAUAGUAUAGUGAUAGAUGGAUGGAUGGCUAGAUGGAUAGAUAUAGAUAGAGAUAGUACUUUAUUCAUCCCAAAAUUCUGCUGAUGCAGCAGCAAAUUACAGGCACUCAACAUAAACAUAAAUCUCACAAGGAAAAGAAAACAAUAUAAGAAAUUAUUUUUAAAAAGAUAGAGGAAUAUAGAAAUUAUAUACAAAAUCAAUACACAAUAAGGGAGCAGACAACAUACAAUAAGUGUGCAAAAAAUCUCAAAGAGAGAACCUAUGUGCAAAUAUUGCCAGUUCAGACAGUCAGUCCAGGGUGUUAUCUGACACAUAGUGAACAUGUGUUGUACAGAGUUAUGAGGCAGGAAGGAUUUCCUGUAGCGAUCCUUAAGACAACAAAGCUGUCUGAGCCUUUUGGAGAAGCUGCUCCAUUG
ensembl:lncRNA